AGAGAAGUGUGCAGUGUGGUCUUUAUGGAGCAGGAAACCGGAUGGGAAGAGAACCCCCCGAGAUGCGGCGGUGCCAGGCUGGUGCAACACAAGCGAGGCCAGCGUACGACCUCCGAUGUGCGCAGAGUGACAGCAACACCAGUGUCCACCGCUGGGCAGUCUCCUGCGUGACCCUGAGAACCACUGCCGUCCACGCCAUCCUCCGGACCCGUCUGCAGGCCCCACAAGACAAAGGAAUGACAGUCAUCUGACGCGACUGCUCCUGGAGAACCCGUGCUGGGUCCUUGGGCCGCUGCUUCCUUCUCCCUCCGGCUGGUAAUCCAGAAGCAAUCUGUGAUCUGGGGCUGGACAGUGAGCACGUGCCCCCUCGUCCCUCAGAAACCCGGGGCCCAUCUGCUUGUCCCUGACCUGGAGGGGCCUGCCGGUGUCCUGUGAGUCCUCUUAGGGCAUGUCCCAGGUGGUAUUGCCGAGGGCUGUGACCUGCCCUGACCUGCCCCUCCUCCAAGCUUCCGGGCCCUCC